AUGCUGGGCGAUGCUUUUGGACAUCGUGUUGAAUCCAGCGUGGAAAAUAAAACAGUGAAGAUAAGCAGAUCCAAGCAAGCGAUCUUGAAGAAGAGAGGACGAAACGUUCACAAUACACCCAACAAAGCAUCAGGCAACAUCAACAAGAGCAGCUUUAAACCUCCUUUAACCACCAAUGAAGAGCUCAAACCAGCUCAGUCUAAACCAGCCACGAAUAAACAGGUAGGGUAGGCGAUUUCAGAGAUAUCAAGCUAGCUUUGAAACCAUAAGAUCCCACCCUCCCUGCAAAUCACUCUCCAAAGCCACGCCUCCAAAACACAUGACCGGGCUCAGACAGACCAGAGGCUAACGAGAGACGCGUCUACACUGUCAGGUUACCUCAUGUCUCAUUCACCGGUGAGAAAACUUUACAGUACAAAGCGCAUCGUCUUAUAAUAAUUACAUCUUCCAUUCUCGCUCGGUUUAUGAUAGCGUAAUGAACGCGCUGAUGGCGUAUCAUGUCUGCGUGAACAGGGCGCACAGAGAGCCUAUCGUAGCCCUCGGACCGAGGAAUAUGAUUGGACAAACAUUUUAUGAUCCUACACCUUCUGCAGAUGCUAUAAAUACAUUUAGACCACUUAGUGAUUGCUAUCGGGAUGUGAAGAGACUUUCAAAAAAUGUUUUUGAAUCAAAUCACCUACCCUGCCUUUAAGUCUUCUGAUUAUACACCUUUUUCUUAAUGAGUGUACUGUGUUUUAGAUUUAGGGAGGCACUUCCGGUGACUGAAGACAAAGCAUUUCAAAUUAGAAGAUUGCACUACAAAUAAUCCUGAUCUGUUUGAUUGAAUGAGCUGUAAAUGUGUGUUCUGCUCUCCAGAUUUAUUAUAUACUGAUUGUUUACAGUUUACUCCCAUAAUUUGCACAAAGUGUGGGCAUACAGUGAGGACAUUCUGAGCUAAAGUCAGCCAUUGCAUCAAAAAUAAGCUAAAAUAGGUUUAUCAAAUAAGGAAUGUCAUGUUUUUUAGAUUUUAAUUUUAAAAUGAUUAUUUUCUACUGUUACAUUACUCUGAAACACUAAGGGGUAGAAACUUUUUUUUUUUUUCACCUGAAUCCUUCUUUCUUUUCCUUCUAUAAUUAUUUUCAUUCACAUUUUGCAGACCAGAAGCCAGGGAUGGUGCUGGCAAAAAGUUUUGAUUCGUUAAUAUGAAGAUAUUAAGUGAAAUAAAUGUCACACAUUUUUCA
ensembl:lncRNA